rnacentral:rRNA from 1 species
UUUAAAGGUCGAACAGACCUAUUACUUAAAGCUUCUGCACUUUAAAAUUUCUUUAAUUCAACAUCGAGGUCGCAAACUUUAUUAUAGAUAUGAACUCUCCAAUAAAAUUACGCUGUUAUCCCUAAGGUAACUUAUUCUAAUAAUCAAUAAUAAUGGAUCAAAUAUUCAUAAAUCAAUGUUAAUAUAUCAAGAAAGUUUAUUAUAUUUCCCUGUCACCCCAACAAAAUAUUUUAUUAAAUAAAUAAUAAUUAUUUUACCAUAAAAAUCUAAUUAACACAAUAUAAAGUUCUAUAGGGUCUUCUCGUCCUUUAAGAUCAUUCAAGCCUUUUAACUAGAAAGCUAAAUUAUUAAAAUUUUGAAAAUGAGACAGUUUGUAUUUCGUUCAACCAUUCAUACUAGCCUCUAAUUAAAAGGCAAAUGAUUAUGCUACCUUUGCACAGUCAGAAUACUGCGGCCCUUCAAAAUUCAGUGGGCAGGUUAGACUUUAUAUUAUAAACAAAAAGAC